rnacentral:RNase_P_RNA from 1 species
AAAGCAGGCCACCUUGUCGCUUUAUCCUUUGAGAUAAAGAGGAAAGUCCGGACACCAUAGUGCAGCGUAGCGGGUAACACCCGUCCAUCGUGAGGUGAGGACAAGUGCAACAGAAAGCAAGUACAGUUCGGCUGUAGUGAAACCAGGUAAACUCUACGCGGUGAAACGCCAUGUAAACCAAUGCUUGAGAGCGGCACGUUCGAUAUUGGAGGGUAGGCGGUUCGAGAAUCUGAGUAAUUGGAUUCCUAGAUAAAUGACAGGGCUAGACAGAAUCCGGCUUACGGCCUGCUUUUUUU